AGAGCAUUUUAAAGCCAGGGUCUAGCCCCUUGGCCUUCUUCUCUGUCCUUUCAAGGGGUCCUGAGGUAUGUUUUACCAAGCUGCAGCCUCUCUGGGGUUAUGACCUCCCCCUCUUUGUUCCAUUUUUCUGUGGCUGGUUAGUGGAGCCAAGUCCCUGUGACUUGCAAUGGGAAAUGGGAAUGUCUGGCCUGGGACAAACACACUCCAAACCUUGAGCUUUUCUCAGGUGAGGGCCAGGCAUGUUCCACCUUGAUUUAACUCUAGACUAUCCAGACAAAAAGCAACCUGAGACCAGACAGGUAGACUAACUCUGACUCAGGGAUGAGCCAAGUAGGGAUCUCCUAAGUACUAAGGUCAAGAUAAGCAGGUGACCCGGUCAUCCUUAGACAUCGGCACAGGCUUGGCAUGAAAGGAAUGGUGGUUGGGGUUGCAUACUGCCCUGGACAACCUAGCUUUCUACCCUGCAGGACCCUGUCUGGGUCUAUCUCUACCUGCAUAGAACUGGACCCAGAGUGGCUGGAAGCCCCCUCCUCUAUUUUGUCAGUGUUUGUGACCUGCUUACUAAGGCUUAAGGGAUGCCAUUGGAGGGGUCCCCAAGCUUUGUCCCUCCCCCUAUUGAGAGCUGCUUUCUGCCCUGUGGAGUACUGCCUUUGUUAUGCGCCUGCCAGGAGGUCCCAUGACACACUGCAGAGAGCACGUGGCUGCCACUCUGGCCUCUUUCAGAAAGUGGCACAUCCCUGGACACCAGCACAUCUGUGUAUCUAGUGGCUUAUGCCUGCAGUUAGAAGCAGGAGCCACCAAGCUUCUAGAAAGGCUAGAGACAGGAGCUGAAGGUAAGUCACCGGGCACAUUCCAGGGCCGGUGAUGUUUUCUCCUUCAGACUCGCUCAGAGUUGCUGUCCUUUCUGUGGGUCCUAAAGGUAGGGACAGGGACUUGUUCUGUGGCCCAGAGCUAAGCCACAGGGAAGACAGCAAUGGCCCCACACAGGAGCAGGGUGGACCCCGCUGUCCCCGUAACCAUGUCCUGGGCCAGGACUGCCUGGAUGGGCAGAUCUUGGGCCAGUUGCGCCCAGGGUCAGAAGAAGAAGACUCUUCUGAGCCUGCCUUCCCUGAGAUGGAUUCAGAGGAUCUCCGCCUAGCUUCCUUCUACAACUGGCCAUCCACUGCGGGAAUCCAGCCUGAGCCAUUGGCUGCUGCAGGUUUCUUCCACACAGGCCAGCAGGACAAAGUGAGAUGUUUCUUCUGCUAUGGGGGUCUACAGAGCUGGGAGCGUGGGGAUGAUCCCUGGACGGAGCAUGCCCGAUGGUUUCCCAGGUGUCAGUUUCUGCUACAGUCAAAAGGAAGGGAUUUUGUGGAACGAAUCCAGACAUACGCCCCCUUGCUUGGAUCCUGGGACCAAUGGGAAGAACCAGAAGAUGCAGCCCCUGCCAGCCCCUCAGCUCCUGCCCUUGGAGGCCCUGAGUUACUCACAUCUAGAAGAGAGACCCAGCCUGAAGAAGCCAGUGAGCCAGUCCCCAGGAGCUGGGGAUGUGCAGGAACAGCUGCGACAGCUGCAGGAGGAGCGGACGUGCAAGGUGUGCCUGGAUCGAGCCGUAUCUGUGGUCUUCGUGCCCUGCGGCCACUUGGUCUGUACUGAAUGUGCCCCCAACCUGCAGCUGUGCCCGAUCUGCAGGGUGCCCAUCUGUAGCUGUGUACGCACCUUCCUGUCCUAAAAUCAGGCACUGUACCAAAAGGUGGGCCCCCUGCCCGCCUCAACCUGUUUCAGAGCGGACAGUGGGUCUCCUGAGGACAUUCAGUGUCCACCACAGACAUAGGACAGCCCGGAGGAAGAGUUUCUGGCUGGUGUGGGGGGUGAUUCUGCUGUAGCUU